GAGGAAGUAAAAGUCGUAACAAGGUUUCCGUAGGUGAACCUGCGGAAGGAUCAUUACAGAAUGAACUUGGCGGAUUGUCGCUGGCCUCCUCCGGGAGUGCAUGUGCACGUCUGUCAUUUCCAUCUUACCACCUGUGCACACUUUGUAGAUCUGGAGGCGUCUUCACGGACUUUGUCUGUGGUUUUUGGGAGCUGUCUCACGACUCUCCCUGGCCUUUUCAGGUCUACGUUUUUACAUCUACUCCAUAGCAUGUAAAAGAAUGAAUCUAUGGCAGCCUCGUGCAGCCUAUAAAACUUGUACAACUUUCAGCAACGGAUCUCUUGGCUCUCGCAUCGAUGAAGAACGCAGCGAAAUGCGAUAAGUAAUGUGAAUUGCAGAAUUCAGUGAAUCAUCGAAUCUUUGAACGCAUCUUGCGCUCCUUGGUAUUCCGAGGAGCAUGCCUGUUUGAGUGUCAUUAAAUUCUCAACCAUCCCGUCUUCUUCUGAAGUCGCGGACGCGUUGGAUGUGGGGACUUGCCAGCGCUUAUUCUAUAAGACUCGGCUUCCCUUAAAUGCAUUAGCUAGAGCGCUUCUGUUGACUAGCCGCUAGUGUGAUAAUUAUCUACACUGUGACCAGCCAGCCUUUGAAACGAAGGAACUCUGCUUCUAACCGUCUGCUUGCAGACAAUCUAUGAUAACUUGACCUCAAAUCAGGUAGGACUACCCGCUGAACUUAAGCAUAUCAAUAAGCGGAGGAAAAGAAACUAACAAGGAUUCCCCUAGUAACUGCGAGUGAAGCGGGAAAAGCUCAAAUUUAAAAUCUGGCAGUCUUUGGCUGUCCGAGUUGUAAACUAGAGAAGUGUUAUCCGCGCUGGACCGUGUAAAAGUCUCCUGGAAUGGAGCAUCAUAGAGGGUGAGAAUCCCGUCUUUGACAUGGACUACCAGUGCUUUGUGAUGCGCUCUCAAAGAGUCGAGUUGUUUGGGAAUGCAGCUCAAAAUGGGUGGUAAAUUCCAUCUAAAGCUAAAUAUUGGCGAGAGACCGAUAGCGAACAAGUACCGUGAGGGAAAGAUGAAAAGAACUUUGGAAAGAGAGUUAAACAGUACGUGAAAUUGCUGAAAGGGAAACGCUUGAAGUCAGUCGCGUUGGCCAGGAAUCAACCUUGCUUUUGCUGGGCGUACUUUCUGGUUGACGGGUCAGCAUCAAUUUUGACUGCUGGAAAAAGUUCAAGGGAAUGUGGCAUCUUCGGAUGUGUUAUAGCCCUUGUUCGCAUACAGCAGUUGGGAUUGAGGAACUCAGCACGCCGCAAGGCCGGGUUUCGACCACGUUCGUGCUUAGGAUGCUGGCAUAAUGGCUUUAAUCGACCCGUCUUGAAACACGGACCAAGGAGUCUAACAUGCCUGCGAGUGUUUGGGUGGAAAACCCAAGCGCGCAAUGAAAGUGAAAGUUGAGAUCCCUGUCGUGGGGAGCAUCGACGCCCGGACCAGACCUUUUGUGACGGAUCCGCGGUAGAGCAUGUAUGUUGGGACCCGAAAGAUGGUGAACUAUGCCUGAAUAGGGUGAAGCCAGAGGAAACUCUGGUGGAGGCUCGUAGCGAUUCUGACGUGCAAAUCGAUCGUCAAAUUUGGGUAUAGGGGCGAAAGACUAAUCGAACCAUCUAGUAGCU
rnacentral:rRNA from 1 species